rnacentral:rRNA from 1 species
AUGCGCCUCCCGUUUAGACCCACCGUGGCCGUAGCCAAUGCCGACGCCGUCCUCCCCCGCGCCGGCCCCGUCGCCGGCUUCGGCGCCACCACGCCGCCGGACGCCCGCAUGGUCAAGACGGGCUUCGACCCGGCCGCCUAUCGCCUCAACCUCCACCUCCAGUCCCUCAUCUCCUCCGGCCGCCUCGCGCAGGCCCGCGCCCUGUUCGACCAAAUGCCCCACACCAAGAACGCCUUCUCCCUCAACCGCAUGCUCUCCGGCUACUCCAGGUCGGGCCAGCUCGCCGCCGCGCACCAGCUCUUCCUCUCCUCCCCGCCCCGCCUCCGCGAGGCCGUCACCUGGACCAUCAUGAUGGCCGCCUUUGCCGCCGCCCCCGGCCGCGCCGCCGACGCCCUAGCCCUCUUCCGCGACAUGCUCAGGGAGGGCGUCGCCCCGGACCGCGUCACCGUGUCCACCGUGCUCAACGUGCCCGCCUCUGGCACCGUGACCGCGUCGCUCCAUCCUUUCGCCGUCAAGCUCGGCCUCCUCCGCUCCAGCGUCGUCGUCUGCAACACGCUGCUCGACGCCUACUGCAAGCACGGCCUCCUCGCUGCUGGCAUGAGAGUGUUCCAGGAGAUGCCGCACAGGGACUCCGUCACCUACAAUGCCAUGAUGAUGGGGUGCUCCAAGGAGGGGCUGCACAGGGAAGCGCUGGUCCUAUUUACUGAUAUGCGCCGCACGGGUCUUGACGCCAGCCAGUUCACCUUCUCCAGCAUGCUCACCGUAGCCACAGGCAUGGGUGAUCUCCACCUUGGGCGCCAGGUCCACGGCCUCGUGGCCAGAGCCACCUCCGCGCACAACGUGUUUGUCAAGAACUCGUUGCUGGAUUUCUACUCCAAAUGUGACUGCCUUGCUGAGAUGGAGAAGCUGUUCGACGAGAUGCCAGAGCGCGACAAUGUCUCAUAUAAUGUCAUGAUCUCAGGCUAUGCUUGGAACCGGUGCGCUAGCAGAGCGCUGCGGCUGUUCAGAGAGAUGCAGAUACUCUGUUUCGACAGGCAGGCCUUACCUUAUGCUAGUUUGCUGAGUGUUGCUGGCUCACUGCCUCACAUUGGGAUUGGGAAGCAAAUACAUGCUCAGCUGGUCCUUCUUGGCCUUUCUUCGGAGGAUCUUGUGGGCAACGCCUUGAUUGACAUGUAUUCAAAAUGUGGGAUGUUGGAUGCUGCAAAGACCAAUUUUCUCAACAAGAAUGACAAGACAGGCGUUUCAUGGACAUCAAUGAUAACUGGGUAUGUCCAGAAUGGGCAGCUGGAGGAAGCGCUGCGGUUAUUCUGUGACAUGAGAAGAGCUGGUCUGAGCCCGGACAGGGCGACAUUUUCAAGCAUCAUUAAGGCUUCCUCAAGCCUGGCAAUGAUCGGGUUAGGGAGGCAGUUACAUUCUUACACUAUCAGAUCAGGCCACAUCUCCAGUGUGUUCUCAGGAAGUGCCCUUCUUGACAUGUACGCAAAGUGUGGCUGUUUGGAUGAGGCACUCCAAACAUUUGAUGAGAUGCCUGAGAGGAAUUCCAUCUCGUGGAAUGCUGUUAUUUCAGCCUACGCGCACUACGGGCAGGCAAAGAACGCCAUCAAGAUGUUUGAAGGUAUGCUCCAUUAUGGGUUCAAACCAGAUUCAGUCACCUUCUUGAGUGUACUGUCAGCCUGCAGUCACAACGGCCUUGCAGAAGAAUGUAUGAAAUACUUUGAAUUGAUGGAACAUGAAUAUGGCAUAUCCCGCUGGAAGGGACACUAUGCUUGUGUUAUCGAUACAUUAGGUCGGGUGGGACGUUUUGAUAAAGUUCAGCAAAUGUUGAGCGAGAUGCCAUUUGAAGAUGACCCAAUCAUUUGGAGCUCCAUUCUUCACUCGUGCAGGAUCCAUGGAAACCAGGAUUUAGCUAGAGUGGCAGCUGAAAAGUUGUUCAGUAUGGGAUCCACCGAUGCGACGCCUUACGUUAUACUGUCCAACAUAUAUGCAAAGGCUGGUAAAUGGGAAGACGCUGCCCGUGUUAAAAAGAGCAUGAGAAAUAGAGGACUUAGGAAAGAGUCAGGUUACAGUUGGGUUGAAGUCAAACAAAAAAUCUACAGCUUUUCUUCAAAUGACCAAACCAACCCGAUGAUAUCCGAGAUGAAAGAAGAGCUUGAGAGGAUGUACAAAGAGAUGGAUAAACAGGGAUAUAAGCCCGACACUAGCUGUGCCUUGCAUCAAGUGGAUGAUGACUUAAAGUUGGAGUCAUUGAAAUACCACAGCGAGAGAUUGGCCAUUGCAUUUGCUCUGAUUAACACCCCACCAGGGACGCCAAUUAGAGUUAUGAAAAAUCUAUCCGCUUGCCUAGACUGCCAUGCUGCAAUCAAGAUGAUGUCAAAGAUUGUGAACAGAGACAUAAUUGUAAGAGAUUCAAGCAGGUUUCACCAUUUCAAGGAUGGAGUUUGUUCUUGUGGAGACUAUUGGUAG